rnacentral:rRNA from 1 species
AUUGAACGCUGGCGGCAUGCCUUACACAUGCAAGUCGAACGGCAGCGGGGGAGAAGCUUGCUUUUCCUGCCGGCGAGUGGCGAACGGGUGAGUAAUACAUCGGAACGUGCCCUGUAGUGGGGGAUAACUAGUCGAAAGAUUAGCUAAUACCGCAUACGACCUGAGGGUGAAAGUGGGGGACCGCAAGGCCUCAUGCUAUAGGAGCGGCCGAUGUCUGAUUAGCUAGUUGGGGGGGUAAAGGCCUACCAAGGCGACGAUCAGUAGCUGGUCUGAGAGGACGAUCAGCCACACUGGGACUGAGACACGGCCCAGACUCCUACGGGAGGCAGCAGUGGGGAAUUUUGGACAAUGGGCGAAAGCCUGAUCCAGCAAUGCCGCGUGUGUGAAGAAGGCCUUCGGGUUGUAAAGCACUUUUGUCCGGAAAGAAAUGGCUCUGGUUAAUACCUGGGGUCGAUGACGGUACCGGAAGAAUAAGGACCGGCUAACUACGUGCCAGCAGCCGCCGUAA